UGCAUCUGUUCUCUUCCAAAGAAGCUGAUCCUUAUCCUGUGUUGAGGAGCAACCUUUCGGAGACCAGAUGGAGCCGGGCACCCUUCUUCAAAUAAUGGCUUUUAAUUCUCAAACUAGAGUGUUUCAGAUUACAGAAGAAACCAGUUCUCUUCGCAUCCUUAUCCUUGUGAUGUAGCAUUCCACUUGCAAAUUGGAAGCUGUUUAAUAUCAGAGAGAAAUCAUAUUUAUGAAAGUAAAGAGGCUGCUCAGAUGACUGCAAACCAGCCUUCCUUACUGGUUUUAUCACUAGUAAUGUUAUAAAGACAGUUGUCCAGUUUUAUGAAUCUCGUAGGUUUUUUUUUUUUUGAUGUUGUUGUUUUUUUCCCCAAAUCAGUACUGUAGAAAAAUAUGCUGCCCCAGAAGAGAUGAUUGGACACUCUCAAGCAUGGUGUUGGACUUUGUCAUCUCUUGCACAGCCAUCUCCACACCUUAGUGCUUACCUCAUGUUAGUUUUUUAUAUUCUGCAAAGACAAAACCAAAAUCAUCCAAAUUUGACACAAAUACCUGGGAUACCUCUUAUUUGAGAAGCUUAACAAAUGUCUGGAUCAUCUUUUCUUAUAUAUUAUGCAGGAAACACUGUGAAGUAAGCAAAGUUGGAAUGCCCAAGUCAAUGACCAUUUGAAUAUUUACAAGUAGAUUUGAGACAGGAAUACUACCGGGUGGUCACAGGAUAACUAAUUCUAGGCAGCAGAUUUACAUGACUUGAGGCUAUGGGCUGUUAAGACGCUGAAAAACCAGGGUGUGGACCAAGCUGGCUAAGACUGAGUGGACCCACUGUGGUGCUGGAUUUGAUGGAAGUUUUACCUAGGCCCUCAUUAUAUGCUCAUUAACAUACUAAAUCACACACCACCCAGUGCCAUGACAGUUCUGAGACCAAUAUUUGAUGUAAAAAUGGAUGGCACCACAGUUCCGAGAAAUCUCCACCUUUACCCAGGAAUUUUUGUGAAUAUUCCACUCCUUGGUUAAAGAGACCCAUCAAGAUGAAACCCCAGAACCCAUUAUUCUCUCUCGGGUAUGCCCGAGUUCCCCUUUCUUGAGGGUGUACUUUUUGCUUUGCAAUAAAUCUCUUCUUUCACUA
rnacentral:lncRNA from 1 species